UCUCCCAACUUUCUUCAAACCUUCUUAUGUCUUCUUAUAAUUUUAUUUCCUUGCUUAAAAUUUUGGCUGGAUUCUUCUUCUUCCUCCUCUUUCUUUUAUGGUUUAAUAUUUCGGGAACAAUGACCUGUCUUCAGCAAAGCUUAGGCUCUUGAGAGUGAACUUUGCUCUAGGGGAAAAGUGAAAACAGUAUUGCAACACCAGUGAAUAACAAGAUGAAGCAUGUGUUGUCAGUUGCAGCUCCUAAACUCAAGAUUUUAUCCAAUCUCACCAACAUGAACAUGAACAAUCUGACUGUUUUGGUAUUUCUAGCAAGCUUAAGAAUGUACCUGCACAAUUUUGUUCCGCAAAUACAUCUAUAUGUAGAUAACUGGGAUAUCUAUACCUAUCUAUACCUAUCUACAUACAUCUAUAUGUAGAUAGGUGGGAUAUCAACAGAUGUGUUCUAGUAAUCCCAUGAUAGAUAACUGGCCCUGGAAACUUAUUUGGAGAACCAAGCUGCCACCAAAGGUUAUCUGUUACACCUGGACAGCAUUAUAUGAGGCAUGCCUCACACAAGAUAACCUGAACUUCCAGUUACCUAACAGAUGCUAUAUGUGUCAAAAGAAAGCUGAAAGUACCUGCCACUUGCUCCUACACUCUGAGGUGGCCUCAGACAUAUGGUACAUGUUUUUUUGCCUUUUUGGUCUCAAAUGGGUCAUCCCUUACACAGUCAAGGACUCUUAUAAGAGCUGGAGUUUAUGGAGAGUUGAUGAAGCCAUCAUGAAAAUCUGGUCUGGUCAAUGGUCCCUGCUUGUAUUUUCUGGUGCAUUUGGACAGAGAAGCAAGAGAUGUUUUGAUGGAAACUCAACUUCUAUAGGUUCUUUAAAGGCUGUGUGUAUUGCAAAUUUGUAUACUUGGUCUAGACUCUACCCUAUCAAUAAUAUCGAUCAUCUUUUGGAUUUCAUUAGUUCCUUAGGUCUGGCUUAGCCAAUUAAGUAUAGAAGCCGGAAUAUUUUUUGUAAGCUCAAAUGCCAAAUCAUGUACUUCUUGCAUCUUCUGGAUGCCAUCUAUUGAAAUCACUUACUUCAUCAAAAAAAAA